rnacentral:rRNA from 1 species
UACGAAGGGGCUAGCGUUGCUCGGAAUUACUGGGCGUAAAGGGCGCGUAGGCGGAUGUUUAAGUCGGGGGUGAAAGCCCGGGGCUCAACCUCGGAAUUGCCUUCGAUACUGGACAUCUUGAGUACGGGAGAGGUGAGUGGAAUUCCGAGUGUAGAGGUGAAAUUCGGUAGAUAUUCGGAAAGAACACCAGUGGCGAAGGCGGCUCACUGGACCGGCAUUGACGCUGAGGUGCGAAA